rnacentral:misc_RNA from 1 species
GAAAUGCGAUAAUUAAUGUGAAUUGCAGAAUUCAGUGAAUCAUCGAGUCUUUGAACGCACAUUGCGCCCCCUGGUAUUCCGGGGGGCAUGCCUGUCCGAGCGUCAUUGCUGCCCUCAAGCACGGCUUGUGUGUUGGGCUUCCGUCCCUGGCAACGGGGACGGGCCCAAAAGGCAGUGGCGGCACCAUGUCUGGUCCUCGAGCGUAUGGGGCUUUGUCACCCGCUCCCGUAGGUCCAGCUGGCAGCUAGCCUCGCAACCAAUCUUUUUAACCAGGUUGACCUCGGAUCAGGUAGGGAUACCCGCUGCACUUAAGC